rnacentral:rRNA from 1 species
GACGAACGCUGGCGGCGUGCCUAAUACAUGCAAGUCGAACGCUGAAGGAGGAGCUUGCUUCUCUGGAUGAGUUGCGAACGGGUGAGUAACGCGUAGGUAACCUGCCUGGUAGCGGGGGAUAACUAUUGGAAACGAUAGCUAAUACCGCAUAAUAGUAGAUGUUGCAUGACAUUUGCUUAAAAGGUGCAAUUGCAUCACUACCAGAUGGACCUGCGUUGUAUUAGCUAGUUGGUGGGGUAACGGCUCACCAAGGCGACGAUACAUAGCCGACCUGAGAGGGUGAUCGGCCACACUGGGACUGAGACACGGCCCAGACUCCUACGGGAGGCAGCAGUAGGGAAUCUUCGGCAAUGGACGGAAGUCUGACCGAGCAACGCCGCGUGAGUGAAGAAGGGUUUCGGAUCGUAAAGCUCUGUUGUAAGAGAAGAACGUGUGUGAGAGUGGAAAGUUCACACUGUGACGGUAGCUUACCAGAAAGGGACGGCUAACUACGUG